UCACUCUUGAUGGUCAGACAAACGGGAUGU
rnacentral:piRNA from 1 species